rnacentral:rRNA from 1 species
CACGUAGGGGGCAAGCGUUGUCCGGAUUUAUUGGGCGUAAAGAGCUCGUAGGCGGCUCGGUAAGUUUGGUGUGAAAUCUCCCGGCUCAACCGGGAGGGUGCGCCGAAAACUGGGAGGCUAGAGUGCGGGAUGGGAGAGUGGAAUUCCUGGUGUAGCGGUGAAAUGCGUAGAUAUCAGGAGGAACACCGGUGGUGCAGACGGCUCUCUGGACCGUAACUGACGCUGAGACACGAAAGCGUGGGUAGCAAACAGG